rnacentral:rRNA from 1 species
UACGUAGGGGGCUAGCGUUAUCCGGAUUUACUGGGCGUAAAGGGUGCGUAGGUGGUUUCUUAAGUCAGGAGUGAAAGGCUACGGCUUAACCGUAGUAAGCUCUUGAAACUGGGAAACUUGAGUGCAGGAGAGGAAAGUGGAAUUCCUAGUGUAGCGGUGAAAUGCGUAGAUAUUAGGAGGAACACCAGUAGCGAAGGUGGCUUUCUGGACUGUAACUGACGCUGAGGCACGAAAGCGUGGGGAGCAAACAGGAUUAGAUACCCCUGUAGUCCCUGAGCGGGCU